AGAGGUGAAUAUAAUGAGCAAACGGGUCAUUCGUCAUGCACCCAAAGAUAUUCAAAAUGGGGGUAGGAAUUCUCCAAUCUCAUCCCUUCUUUAUUACUUAAGACUCAUGGCACAUAACUUGGCUCAUGAUUAACAAGUGUUGGAUUUGACCUUUGUAGUGCUUGAAUAGUAGUCCUGUCUCAUACUGACUUGAAUUGCUUGAACUCUCGAUCUUGAUCUUUGAAUCUUGAUUGAACUUGGAGAUCCAACAUCCAACAUCUUGAUUACAAGGACUUACUUUAUCAAGUGAUUAAGGGUCUUUCG
rnacentral:lncRNA from 1 species